rnacentral:misc_RNA from 1 species
AAAAUGUGAUAAGUAAUGUGAAUUGCAGAAUUCAGCGAAUCAUCGAAUCUUUGAACGCACAUUGCGCCCGCCAGUAUUCUGGCGGGCAUGCCUGUUCGAGCGUCAUUUCAACCCUCAAGCCCCCGGGUUUGGUGUUGGGGAUCGGGCUGCGGUUCUACCGCGUCCCGGCCCCGAAAUCUAGUGGCGGUCUCGCUGCAGCCUCCAUUGCGUAGUAGCUAACACCUCGCAACUGGAACGCGGCGCGGCCAAGCCGUUAAACCCCCAACUUCUGAAUGUUGACCUCGGAUCAGGUAGGAAUACCCGCUGAACUUAAGC